UCGGGCCUCCAAGCAGCCGCCCGGUUAUUAAAGACGGUUCGUCUCAAGCGCUGC
rnacentral:ncRNA from 1 species